rnacentral:rRNA from 1 species
CCUACGGGAGGCAGCAGUGAGGAAUAUUGGACAAUGGGCGCAAGCCUGAUCCAGCCAUGCCGCGUGCAGGAAGACGGUCCUAUGGAUUGUAAACUGCUUUUAUACAGGAAGAAACACCUCUACGUGUAGAGACUUGACGGUACUGUAUGAAUAAGCAUCGGCUAACUCCGUGCCAGCAGCCGCGGUAAUACGGAGGAUGCAAGCGUUAUCCGGAAUCAUUGGGUUUAAAGGGUCCGUAGGCGGUUUAAUAAGUCAGUGGUGAAAGCCCAUCGCUCAACGAUGGAACGGCCAUUGAUACUGUUAAACUUGAAUUAUUAGGAAGUAACUAGAAUAUGUAGUGUAGCGGUGAAAUGCUUAGAGAUUACAUGGAAUACCAAUUGCGAAGGCAGGUUACUACUAAUAUAUUGACGCUGAUGGACGAAAGCGUGGGGAGCGAACAGGAUUAGAUACCCUGGUAGUCCACGCCGUAAACGAUGGAUACUAGCUGUUCGGAGCAAUCUGAGUGGCUAAGCGAAAGUGAUAAGUAUCCCACCUGGGGAGUACGUUCGCAAGAAUGAAACUCAAAGGAAUUGACGGCNGAGAGNGCGACGGACGACGACGAGGGAGGAGG